UACAGAGGUCCCAAGCGUUGUUCGGAUUCAUUGGGCGUAAAGGGUGCGUAGGCGGUGAUGUAAGUUGGAUGUGAAAUCCCGGGGCUCAACCCCGGAACUGCAUUCAAUACUGCGUUGCUAGAGUACUGGAGAGGAGAUUGGAAUUCACGGUGUAGCAGUGAAAUGCGUAGAUAUCGUGAGGAAGACCAGUGGCGAAGGCGAAUCUCUGGACAGUUACUGACGCUGAGGCACGAAGGCUAGGGGAGCAAACGGG
rnacentral:rRNA from 1 species